rnacentral:rRNA from 1 species
GACGAACGCUGGCGGCGUGCCUAAUACAUGCAAGUAGAACGCACAGUUUAUACCGUAGCUUGCUACACCAUAGACUGUGAGUUGCGAACGGGUGAGUAACGCGUAGGUAACCUGCCUGGUAGCGGGGGAUAACUAUUGGAAACGAUAGCUAAUACCGCAUAAUAUUAAUUAUUUCAUGAUAAUUAAUUGAAAGGUGCAAUUGCACCACUACCAGAUGGACCUGCGUUGUAUUAGCUAGUAGGUGAGGUAACGGCUCACCUAGGCGACGAUACAUAGCCGACCUGAGAGGGUGAUCGGCCACACUGGGACUGAGACACGGCCCAGACUCCUACGGGAGGCAGCAGUAGGGAAUCUUCGGCAAUAGACGAAAGUCUGACCGAGCAACGCCGCGUGAGUGAAGAAGGUUUUCGGAUCGUAAAGCUCUGUUGUAAGAGAAGAACGGGUGUGAGAGUGGAAAGUUCACACUGUGACGGUAUCUUACCAGAAAGGGACGGCUAACUACGUG